UUUAUGAAUACAGGAGAUUUUGGGUCGAAGCUGGGUCGAAACCCGUAAUUAUUUCAGACCUGAAACCAUAACAUAUAAUAUUAGUUUCGUCCCAAGCGUCAUUUAAACCGGCGAUCUCUAAAAUUCACCUAGAAUAUUUAUCAAUUGAGCUAACGACACUUGCUCGUCUUGAAUGUUACAUAUACGAGUGUCUAUCCUUAAUUAU
rnacentral:sRNA from 1 species